GGUAGCUCAGUUGGUUAGAGCGUGGUGCCGAUAAGGUCAAGGCCGCAGGUUCAAUCCCCAUUAGGGACA